rfam:Pan troglodytes isolate Yerkes chimp pedigree #C0471 (Clint) chromosome 12, whole genome shotgun sequence.
GCCGGGCGUGGUGGCUCAUGCCUGUAAUCCCAGCACUUUGGGAGGCUGAGGUGGGUGGAUCACCUGAGGUCAGGAGUUCAAGACCAGCCUGACCAACAUGGUGAAAUUCCAUCUCUA